rnacentral:rRNA from 1 species
UACAGAGACUGCGAGCGUUAUUCGGAUUCACUGGGCGUAAAGGGUGCGCAGGCGGCCAAGUGUGUGAGGCGUGAAAGCCCGGGGCUUAACCCCGGAAUUGCACCUCAAACUACAUGGCUAGAGCAUUGGAGAGGGUAGCAGAAUUCAUGGUGUAGCAGUGAAAUGCGCAGAUAUCAGGAGGAACACCAAUGGCGAAGGCAGCACUCUGGGACGUGACUGACGCUGAGACGCGAAAAGCGUGGGGGAGCAAACAGG